CCCCUAGACGUUCUGGGCUGCACGCGCGCUACAAUAAUACGCACAGCGAGUAUCACCGAGCUCGAAAGGGCAAGGUAAACAAUAGAAAAGGUACUGUGAUGGUUAUAGAUCCUUGUAAUUAUUGAUCUUCAACGAGGAAUUCCUAGUAAGUAUGUGUCAUCAUCACGCACUGAUUACGUCCCUGCCCUUUGUACACACCGCCCGUCGCUCCUACCGAUUGGGUGAGCCGAUGAAACUCUCGGAUGUAGGCUAUUCAUAGCCCGCAGAAGAGAUUUGAAUCGUAGCGCUUAGAGGAAGGAGAAGUCGUAACA
rnacentral:rRNA from 1 species